UCAGAUUGAACGCUGGCGGCAGGCCUAACACAUGCAAGUCGAACGGUAACAGGAAUCAGCUUGCUGAUUCGCUGACGAGUGGCGGACGGGUGAGUAAUGUCUGGGAAACUGCCUGAUGGAGGGGGAUAACUACUGGAAACGGUAGCUAAUACCGCAUAACGUCGCAAGACCAAAGAGGGGGACCUUCGGGCCUCUUGCCAUCGGAUGUGCCCAGAUGGGAUUAGCUAGUAGGUGGGGUAACGGCUCACCUAGGCGACGAUCCCUAGCUGGUCUGAGAGGAUGACCAGCCACACUGGAACUGAGACACGGUCCAGACUCCUACGGGAGGCAGCAGUGGGGAAUAUUGCACAAUGGGCGCAAGCCUGAUGCAGCCAUGCCGCCGUGUAUGAAGAAGGCCUUCGGGUUGUAAAGUACUUUCAGCGGGGAGGAAGGGAGUAAAGUUAAUACCUUUGCUCAUUGACGUUACCCGCAGAAGAAGCACCGGCCAACUCCGUGCCAGCCGCGGC
rnacentral:rRNA from 1 species